rnacentral:rRNA from 1 species
UACAGAGGUCUCAAGCGUUGUUCGGAUUCAUUGGGCGUAAAGGGUGCGUAGGCGGCCAGGUAGGUCUGCUGUGAAAACUCGAGGCUCAACCUCGAGACGUCGGCGGAAACCAUCUGGCUAGAGUCCGGAAGAGGAGAGUGGAAUUCCUGGUGUAGCGGUGAAAUGCGCAGAUAUCAGGAAGAACACCCGUGGCGAAGGCGGCUCUCUGGGAAGGUACUGACGCUGAGACGCGAAAGCGUGGGGAGCGAACAGG